ensembl:rRNA 5S_rRNA 5S ribosomal RNA
ACUUAAAUCCACACCACCCUGAAUGCACCCGUCCUGAUCUGAUCUUGGAAGCAAAGCAGGGUUGGGCCUGGUUAGUACUUGGAUGGGAGACCGCUUGGGAAUACCAGGUGCUGUAGGCA